rnacentral:lncRNA from 1 species
CCCGUGCGCGCGCAAGGGGCGGCAUGGCCGCGAGCGGAUGCGACAAGGAGUGCGCCGUCGCGGCAAGAGAAGCGGGGUCUGCAUUUUUUUUCCACGACGACGACGACAACAACAAGGAUCACAGCAGCGGCGGCGGCGACGGCAAAAAGAGACACGAAAAAGAAAGAGAGAAAAAGACGGCGUGAGAAGCGUGUACAGCCGACGACGGCGUCAAACACACGCGGCACACACCGAGCCCGACAACAAGGGAGUGUCGCCAUAUAAAGAAAAUGGGAAGAAAAAAGGAGAAAAAUCAAAGAAAACCUCGGGAAUGGCACGCGUACAUUGAUGCGCAAAGGAGUGGUUGGUGUUGUUGUAGUCGUUGGUAGUCGCCGCCGCCGUUGCCCUCUCUUUCUUCUCGGUUGUUCUCAACUCUUGGAUGGGUCGCAGCGUCUACCCCUGUUUUUUUUGUUGGAUAGGCCGUAGCGUGCGCAGGCUCUUUCUUUUUUUGUUUGACCCUGUGUUUUUGCUUUCCGGUGCUCUUUUUUUUGUGUUCACUGAAUGUCCCCGGCGACGGUGUCUUGUGCGGGCGUGGCCGGCGCUGUCUUUUGUCGCUUCCUGGCGGUGUUUUCUUUCUUUCCUCACUGGUCCGCCGCUACUUUUUUUUUCACUGAUUAUCUCUUGCGCGAUGUGACCUGGUGGAAAAGCGUGCCGUCCGACGGUGUGGUCUGUGCGGCGAGGGUGUGUGUGUGCGAG